rnacentral:rRNA from 1 species
UACGAAGGGGGCUAGCGUUGUUCGGAAUUACUGGGCGUAAAGCGCGUGUAGGCGGGUCUUUAAGUCAGGGGUGAAAUGCCAGGGCUCAACCUUGGAACUGCCUUUGAUACUGGAGACCUUGAGUCCGGGAGAGGUGAGUGGAAUUGCGAGUGUAGAGGUGAAAUUCGUAGAUAUUCGCAAGAACACCAGUGGCGAAGGCGGCUCACUGGACAAGUAUUGACGCUGAGGUGCGAAAGCGUGGGGAGCAAACAGG